GGGGAAUUUUGGACAAUGGGGGCAACCCUGAUCCAGCCAUGCCGCGUGAGUGAAGAAGGCCUUCGGGUUGUAAAGCUCUUUCGGCGGGGAAGAAAUGGCAACGGCUAAUAUCCGUUGUUGAUGACGGUACCCGCAUAAGAAGCACCGGCUAACUACGUGCCAGCAGCCGCGGUAAUACGUAGGGUGCGAGCGUUAAUCGGAAUUACUGGGCGUAAAGCGUGCGCAGGCGGUUGUGUAAGACAGGUGUGAAAUCCCCGGGCUUAACCUGGGAACUGCGCUUGUGACUGCACGGCUAGAGUACGGCAGAGGGGGGUGGAAUUCCACGUGUAGCAGUGAAAUGCGUAGAGAUGUGGAGGAACACCGAUGGCGAAGGCAGCCCCCUGGGUUAGUACUGACGCUCAUGCACGAAAGCGUGGGGAGCAAACA
rnacentral:rRNA from 1 species